UUUCUGUGAUGGUGAGUUAUGAAAAUCUUCACAUGUCAGACUUCAGAGAUUUUUCCACAAAUCUAUGAGAAGAGAAUUCAUUUUUCCUGAGCAGAAU
rnacentral:snoRNA from 1 species